UGGUAUGUCUUGAGUUUAAUUUUUGUGUACAUUUUAUUAUAUUACUUUAGAACUCUAUAUCUGGCGACUGUGUUCCUUUCUAUAUCUAUUGGGACGAAAAUUUUGUCGAGAACAAUAAUGUACCACGAUAUAUUGGUGGCCGUAAAGAAUUGGUUGCGGUCCGACGCGAUAUCUCAUUUCGGGAAUUUGAGAUGGAAAUAUAUAAUGUUACUAAUUAUGAUCGAGUGGAAGACCGUCUACGCAUCACGGUGAAGUGUCCAAUGGGAGGCGAAUGGGAAUUUGUUAACGUAUCAAAUGACAAUACACUAUCUGGCGUGAUGAGUAUAUUUCCGUUCCAUGGAUGUAUAAAAUUAUACGUGGAGAAAGAUGGGUCGACGGCACACGACCGUCCAAAUACCGUUUAUCAAACGAAAAUGUGUCGUACUCGCAAUGAUCAAAGGAAUUACGUCAAUCGCGAACGAGGUCGUACAUCAAGGUAUAAAGUAAUGAUCUUUAUAAAUCUUUUUCGUGAUUUCUCAAUUAGUUUAGGUGCGUGAAAUUAAUAACUUUGUCUUGUAAGUGUUUCAGAGAGUUUGGAGUUCCAUCUCAGCCAGUUAGUGCAGCAUUGCCAUCUGCUGUGAUGGAUCCGUCUCCGUUGGUUGAUCAAAAUGAGUGGUAGGUGAUUGUUUGAUUUAGUUACGUAAAAAAUCAAUGUGGAUAGUUAAUCUUAUAUAUCUCUACAGGUCUACUGUCCCUCCUUAUCAAAGUCCACGACCAUCAUCUUAUGUUCACGAAUGGACGGAUUGAGAAGUCAGAACCACUAUCCUUCCUUAUCAAAAUGAAGGUCCAUCAUGUAGUGUUCAUCAAUGGCCGGCUUGGGAAGUAAGAAAUACUAGCCCUCCCUAUGUAGAUGAAGGUCCAGGAUCAUCUAGUGUUCAUGAAUGGCCGGCUUGGGAAGUAAGAAAUACUAACCCUCCUUAUGUAGAUGAAGGUCCAGGACCAUCUAGUGUUCAUCAAUGGUCGGCUUUGCUAGUAAGAAAUACUAUCUCUCCUUAUCAAAAUGAAGAUCCAUCAUGUACUCAUCGUGAAUGGACCAAUCGGGGAGUGACUACAACUGAUCUAUUGGACGUAAGUAGAAGUGAUGAGGAGUAUGUUAGUGAAACUGAUGAAGAGGAUCAAGGGCGAAUUGAUGCUGAUUCUAGUGAUGACGAGGAGUCCUUUGUUGCGUGUUCUUUGGAUCCUGAUCAUG
rnacentral:lncRNA from 1 species